AGAUUGAACGCUGGCGGCAGGCCUAACACAUGCAAGUCGAGCGGCAGCACGGGUACUUGUACCUGGUGGCGAGCGGCGGACGGGUGAGUAAUGCCUAGGAAUCUGCCUGGUAGUGGGGGAUAACGCUCGGAAACGGACGCUAAUACCGCAUACGUCCUACGGGAGAAAGCAGGGGACCUUCGGGCCUUGCGCUAUCAGAUGAGCCUAGGUCGGAUUAGCUAGUUGGUGAGUAUGCUCACAAGCGACGAUCCGUAACUGGUCUGAGAGGAUGAUCAGUCGACACUGGAACUGACGACGACGGUCCACGACCGUACCGUACGGGAGGCAGCGAGGUGGGGAAUAGUUGGAC
rnacentral:rRNA from 1 species